GACGAACCGUGCGAACGUUGUUCGGAAUCACUGGGCUUAAAGGGCGCGUAGGCGGGCAUUCAAGUCAGGGGUGAAAUCCCCCAGCUCAACUGGGGAACUGCCUUUGAUACUGGGUGCCUCGAGUAAGGUAGGGGCAUGCGGAACUGAUGGUGGAGCGGUGAAAUGUGUUGAUAUCAUCAGGAAUUCCGGUGGCGAAGGCGGCAUGCUGGACCUUCACUGACGCUGAGGCGCGAAAGCUAGGGGAGCGAACGGG
rnacentral:rRNA from 1 species